CAACUGUGUGACCCACCUUGUGAGAGAGGCACCACUAACUGAUUAGAGCACAGCAGGAGUGGGUGCUGAUUCUUCUAGCCCAGUGCUGCAUCCUCUACACAGAAAAAAAGAAGAAGAAAAAAACAACCUCCCUUACAGAAGGGAAAGGAAAGAAAAGGCCCAGUUUAGGUGAGUAGCUCAGCUUCGGUAACAGAGAGAGCAGAUGAGAGUAACAAAUGCAAUUUCACAUACAAAGACUUUUUUCAUAAAACCAGCAGAGUAACGGAUUAAACCACCUGGCAAUCCUGGCAAGAAAAGAAGAAAAUCUUAGGCUGUGACAAACCAAACCAGGUGUAACAGAUGGAUCCAGUACAAAACCAUACUCUGCAAUGAAACAAUAUCCACCAUUUGCUGCUUUCUAGAGCUGCAACAAAAUGGUGGCAAGGACAGACUGCACACAUCUCUCUCUCUUCCUUCCACAUGCUCCCUACCUGCAUGAAUACAAGAAUACCAAAGCUAAUUUUCUCGUCAAUUUAAACAGUAUCUAAAGAAUUGCAAACGCAAUUGGAUAUACAGGACUUGAGCCUCUUCUCACACAGCUUGGUUUGACAGCAGUGUAAAUCCAUUGUCAGAUUUACACCAGAAUAAAUGAGAUCUGAAUCUGGUUCUGAAUUAUUGGAGAGCCAAAGAUCUGAUAGUAAAAAUCCAACUAAAAGUACAUAAAUCUGCAGGUUCUUUUGACCCUUCUGUUCCUGGCACCAUACCAAGUAGAAAUCUGCAGUUGCACUUUCUGUGAUUCUAACACCUUGUUAUCAUUAUGGAACAUAACAAAAGCCUACGUUGAGUUAUCUAAAUGAAAUAAAUCUACUGGACUUCCACUGCUGGAUUUUAUGAGAUGUAUGUAUACAGUAAGUAAGAUAUAUAAAAAAAAUCUUUUUAACAAGUUUGAGCACGCAUCUGUUGAAGACAGAGGACCUAAUUCUCAUGUAUGUUAAGGCCACUUUGCACCACCCUGAACCACUUUAAGACCCCUUUAUGCUGUCAGAAUGGUACAAAGGGGCCUCAUGGAAAUAAGGAUCAGGAUUCAAAAGUGUGAGGGAGAAAUUCUGCUUUCAAAUACACCUUUGUAAAUUUAGAGUAACACCAUUGGCUUGAAUGGAAUUACUCCAGAUUUACAAUAAUGCAAAUGAGAACAGAAUUUGGUUCAGACAAUUAACAAAACUCCACCUUUUGCUCUAUUUAUUCCAAAAGAAAACUCUAAUAAUCUAAUUCGACAUAUAACAAAAUCAAGUUCCCCAUAAAGACAAAUUAAUAUUUCUUCAUAUGUGUGUUAAAGCCUGUAUUCUUUUUAGGAAAUGUGCAUGCAUUAUGAAGUCAGUUUUUAUUUAGCACGUGUUAAAAGUAAGAUUCACACACACAGUCCUUGCAUAAAGUCUGAGGGAACAGCUUUUGUGUAUGGGAACUGGGUACACAAAAUCUAUCCUCCCCACUAACAAGCAGAGUGGGGGCAGCCCCACAAGCCUCUGCAAUAACCCCUGGAUUGUGACCCCUGCACGCACACUAUACAGUGCUCUGUGACCACUGAAGCCACAUAACUGCAGAUCCUUUGACUAUGUCCCUUCCCUUUUUUCAACUCACCCUUCAAUCCUUCCUCUCUUCUGUACUGAUCUAAGUGGAGCUAGCAUGCAAUCCGAGUUCUCCGUGUGCAUGGGGUGCAAACUAGCCAUGUAAGUUCUUAUACACAGCAGUGGCUCUGAUACAUUGGAUGGCACUCUGCAGUAGCUUUGAGCCGCAUGAAUUUCAGCCUUAGUGCAUAAUCUUUCCAUGUUUUUGUCUGUUUGUCAGCUAAUGACAAAUACAACUGAAACAUGUUCAGUUUCCCAGGCUUUUUAAUUAAGAACUUUUUUUUUCCAUUUAGAUAUUUAAUGGAGGGAUAAUUUACUACAAAGGAAUUACGAAAGGCCAAACCCGCAGCUGGUGUAAAUCAGCAUAGAGCCAAUGAAGUCAGCAUGGCAAGAAUCUCUGGGUGGCAUAGAGCUACUAUAUUAGAUCUAUGUCAUCCUUUCCUGGUAUGUGAUGUGACUCCAGCGAUCCUCAGCCUUUAGAAUGAUCCCUUGGGGCCAUAUGCAGCUGGUGGCAACUUAGAGCAGCCCUUUGGACUGCUCUAACUUGUACCAGUCCCCUGUCAGCCACAGGCCAUGGAGCUGCAAUGGCAUAACACCUUCUCCCUGUCUCCCCACCACCAGAUCUGUGGCAACGGCAACUCCGCCAGAUCAGAAAAUACAGACCUAUCAUUAGAGUGUAACAUGUGAGUGCUCAGGCCCUGGAUAAGCCAGUGGUGGUAAUGUCAUGCCAUUUGGCAUGCUAGGCUUGUAGGAUUAUGUAUCCUGGGUGAGAGUGAUAAAAGUGUGAUCUGCUACCUUUGUUUUACCAGAAAUAAGUGUGUUGUCUUUUAUUUUUGUUCACCUGACUUUGCUUUAUUAUUCAUGCCAUCACCACUGUUCACCAUUAAAAGCAGGCCAAUCUAAA